UGUUGGUAUUCUACUACAUAAUAGUUUGGCUGGUUGCUAUUGUAAAAACUAUGUAUGAUUAAGCUAUUUGUGAGACUUCGCAAUAGGCAUAUGUAUAUAUUUUCUUUUGCUCCCUGUUUCCUUUUGUUUUACCGUAGCCAUGAUACGCGGGAAGAGUAAAUUUGCCUCUGGCUCUUUCAAGAUCAAGUCAAGCCCUCAAGAUCACCCCCCUCCCCUGCCCUCCCCCACCAUCUGCUAACUUGCUAAGUUGCUAUAGAAGCGUAUAUGAAUUUCAAUAUUAUCUACGUGACAACGCUGCGUCCAACACUUUUCUUCGCUUCCUGCCUCGUUGAUUCCUUCUCUGUAGCCUACUGCAUUUGUCGUUGGCCGCCAUCAAAGUUCUCUGAAAAUGGACAAACCUAACGUUCUUGCUCGUGUCACCAAAGUUUUAGGCCGAACUGGUUCCCAAGGACAAUGUACACAGGUA